AUGGCAACAGGGACAACUUUUGUAACUUCUUGGUAUACCCAUGGAUUGGCUAGUUCCUAUUUGGAAGGUUGUAAUUUCUUAACCGCAUCAGUUUCUACCCCUGCCAGUAGUUUAGCACACACUUUGUUGCUACUAUGGGGGCCCGAAGCACAAGGAGAUUUUACUCGUUGGUGUCAAUUAGGCGGUCUAUGGACUUUUGUAGCUCUCCACGGGGCUUUUGCACUAAUAGGUUUCAUGUUACGCCAAUUUGAACUUGCUCGGUCUGUUCAAUUGCGGCCUUAUAGUGCAAUCUCAUUCUCUGGUCCAAUUGUUGUUUUUGCUUUUGUAUUCCUUUCGAAUCUUGUUGGGAGAUGCUUCGCUCCGAGUCCGACUGGGACGGAAUGGGGGACCCCGGCCUACUCCAUUUUAUAG
rnacentral:rRNA from 1 species